AUGCUUUCUUCAGCAGCACAUAUACUGAAAUUGGAAUGAUACAGAGAAGAUUAGUGUAGCUCCUGCACAAUGAUGAUACGCAAAUUUGUGAAGCGUUCAAAUUUUUU
rnacentral:snRNA from 1 species